rnacentral:rRNA from 1 species
UACGUAGGGGGCAAGCGUUGUCCGGAAUCACUGGGCUUAAAGCGUGUGUAGGCGGAUAUCUAAGUACCUUGUGAAAUCCCACAGCUCAACUGUGGAACUGCUUGGUAUACUGGAUGUCUUGAGGUAUUCAGGGGCAACCGGAACAGAUGGUGGAGCGGUGAAAUGCGUAGAUAUCAUCUGGAACGCCUGUGGUGAAGACGGCUACCUGGACAAUUGCUGACGCUCAGGCACGAAAGCGUGGGGAGCAAAAGGG